GGCGUGUGCUAUCAGCAUUCUGGGAAAGUCUCUGGCUGAUGAACUUGCCCUUGUGGAUGUUUUGGAAGAUAAGCUUAAAGGAGAAAUGAUGGAUCUGCAGCAUGGGAGCUUAUUUCUUCAGACACCUAAAAUUGUGGCAGAUAAAGAUUAUUCUGUGACCGCCAAUUCUAAGAUUGUAGUGGUAACUGCAGGAGUCCGUCAGCAAGAAGGGGAGAGUCGGCUCAAUCUGGUGCAGAGAAAUGUUAAUGUCUUCAAAUUCAUUAUUCCUCAGAUCGUCAAGUACAGUCCUGAUUGCAUCAUAAUUGUGGUUUCCAACCCAGGUAUUAUUGUAUACUUUAAGUCUCUGUUCUGUUAAGUUCAGUGUUUUGUUGUUUUUGUUGUUAUUAUUUUGGACUAAAAUCAGUCCCAGUAUUCAUUUACAGAAGCAGUUUACAUGUCUUCUUUCAUUGGCCCUAAAUAGUGGUGUUUGCAAAACAAAUGCCUCUGUCCCAGGCCAGAUGUUCAAAAAAUGUGACAACAGUUUUAGCUAAAGCAAUUUCAUGUUUUUGCUUCAUCUGGCUUGGUUAUAGAUUCUGAAGGCUUCUAAAACUUUUUUAUAAAGAUUAUCCUGGGAUGGAGAAUGAAGCAUUCGAACAUAGUUUCAAUUUGUAAGAAACAUUUUGACAUAUUUGACCUUUUAUUUUCCGGAAAAUCCCAUUAUACAGAAUUGA
rnacentral:sRNA from 1 species